ACAGCCUUCAACAGGUGAUGCUUCCUUCAGUAGCCCCACCUCCCUUGGCUUCUGCCCCUGACCUGGCUCAGGAGUCUUCAUGGGAACAGUGUGCCCUUGUCUUCAUCAAAAGCAGCCCUGCAGGGAGGAGGCUCGGAAGGAACUGGUUAAGAGAUCAGAGUAACUUUUGAGCUAAUGAGGACACUAGGUGACAUCAAGCCCAAACACUUUCUGAACAAGUGGCUGGUCCUGAGAGGUGAUCGAGGUCACACAACUAUAAGAUAUAAGCAGGAACUGAAAAAUCACAUCUCCAGACUCAUCACUUGGGCUUGGCCAUGGACUUGCAUAUCAUUGCUGAGAGAAGUCUCAACAGCAGCUUAAGUACUAUUGAAGACCUCAAGAUGACAAAUUUUCUCCAUCACUUCUAAGGCUGAAUUGUCAUAUCCAAUGUGCUUUAUGACUAUGCUUUGAUUUGUGCUGAUGGAUCUAAGGUGUGCACCUCUGGAGGCUUUGAGGUGGCUAUACUUCAGUUGUGGAUAAAGAGGUGAAGAAGGACAUCUAUGGUGAUGCUCAGUAAUAUCUGCGAAGAACUGUGGAGACAGACAAAUAGUCAAAGAUGUUUCAUAACCAACUCCUUUGGAAAGAAAAAAAAGUAGCACAUCAGCAAUUUUUAAGCACGUUAGGAUUUGAACAGCUGAAUGACAGUAUCUCCUGGAGGAAAGAUUUUCUACUCACAGAACCUGAGAUGAGAAUCAUCUGUCCCAGUUUUACAAAUUAAAAAGGAAAAAAGAAACUCCAGUGCCUUUUCUGCCAGUAUUUUCUGAUGUUGAAAUUCUGAUACAAAUAUUCAAGUUCAAUGCAAUCCCAUCAUGAGCGUAUGUGUAUGAAUGAAUACGUAUACAUAUAUAUGAUAGACUCCUGACAAUCAAAAUAAUGUUUUACAGGCAAGAAUUCUUUAAAUUAGAAAGCUACUAAAAUGCAUUUAACUUGCUUUGUGAGAAAGCUAACCCUUUGUCUGUAACUCCCAACCCUGGUUGCAAAAUGCAAUGACCUAGGCUGACUCUUUUUUUUUAAUCCUAUAUCUAGAAGUUUCUCAUUCUGAUUUAAUUGGUCUGGGAUGACUACAUUGGGAUACAGACUACAUUGGGAUAUUUAUAAAGUUUCUCAGGUGAUUUUUAACAUGUACAAAGUUGAGAAACAAUGCCCUACACCAGUGAUUAGUGGCACAUGGCCUUGGUAGUACAUUACAGUCACCUGGGGGAGCUUUAAAAAAUACUGAUUCCCAGGGCAUACCCCAGAUUUAUUAAAUAAUAAGAAUAAGAGGGGAGAACCACAGUCAUCAAUAUUUUUAAAACUCCCCAGCAUAGGCUACCUGGGUUGAGAGACACUGCCUGUGCUCUGCCAGUGAUAUAAUGAUUAUGAUGUACAUUAGACAUCAGAUGAUUCAUUAUCCCGCCUAUAUCUCAACUCACUGCAGCUGGGACUCAUAUUAGACACCUCAUCUUUGUUUCACAUAUAGAAUUAACAAAAUUAAUUUCAGGUUCUAUCAUACCUUUACUAAGAUGAACAUUGUGUCAGUGAUCAGAGAAUUGCCUCUAGUGUUUCUGACAUAUUUGCUUUCACAAUAUUUUGAGAACUAAUAGUCUACUCUGAGCAAAUAUUAAUAUCAUUCCAUGUGAGUAAAUUUCGUCCUGGAAUUGACUGUGGGCAAUUCAUGAUUUCACGAGCACUGGGGUCUCUAUUCCUUUGCUGGAAAUUUUGAUACCACCGAUAUAUGUCACAUUUUAGGCACAUUUAACUGUGCAGCCGGUAUUGGGUUAGACUAUACCCUUCAUGCUCAUGACUCUUUAAUAUCUGCUAAUUUCAGAAGAUCUUUUGAAUAUCGUAGGGAAGUGUAGGUCCCUUUUACUUAUCACCAUUUUUCUAAAGCUCAUCACGCUCCAACAUUAGAGAAGUUUCAAGGAAGCUUCAUCUUAAUAUUGACACCUUGAUAUGACCUGUCCCCAAAGAAGAACUGUCACGUUUGUGAUCAGUAUCUUCCCUCAAAUAGCAAUGGAAGCAUUGGUCUGGAAUUAUUGAGUAAUUUGACUUAGUGAUAAUUAUGGUAGUCUACAGAUACUAGAGAUUAUUAUGCAUUUAUUACAUGAUCUUUGCUUAGAACUAUUUUUACACGGUCUUUGUUGGCUCUCUUGUAAAUCUGUUUCAGAGCAGGAUCCUCAGGAAGCUGUAUUUGAAAUGAAGCUUUGUUAGAUGAGAAAUCAAAUUCACAAUCCUUCUGUGGUUUUGGUGCAAGAGCUCCAUCUGGAAAUGGACCAGCCCUUACUGCCUCAGCAUAUGUCCCAGGGACUACAUUCUCCCAAUAAUUGAACACUUUGAUUCCAAAUGCAGCACAGUUUUCUCUCUUCAUGCUGUUAUUCACCUAUCUCUGAGCAUGCAAACUUCAGGAAGCCAAAGUGAGUGUAGAAAGAUAUUUAUAAUGAAGAAAUAAAAAAAUCCUUAUCAUAAUUAGGUGAUGCUGAAAUAUUCUUCUAGUUGGCAUUCUGCCCAGGAGUUUAAAGGGUUUUUACUUAGUUCUGACUUUGCUUACCUGUAAACCAACCGAGUUCCCUCCAUUUCCCUGCAGUUUGGCAUUUUAGUGUUACAAACCAUUAUUCAUUGGAAGUCAUCAAAAGACAAGGGACCUUUUUCAUUACAAAGCUCCUGGGUGGAAUAAAAUGGCUUACAUUGUUGAAGGGAAAAGGGGGACAAGAAAUGAGUAUUUUCUUUCUAGAAAACACACACAAACACACACACACACACACACACACACACCUGUAUAUCUGCAAUCCAGAUGGCCAUGGUGCCCUGGAUGGGGAAGAAAUAAUCCACUUACUUCUUCUUUUGCUUUUUAUAUGGACUACCACGAAUGGCCAAUCCUGACCCUCAGGGACUGCUCUUUAAGUGUUCUUAAAAUUGAAAUAGAAUUGGAAGUGUCAGUUUCUGGACCAUGUCCAUGUCACCACAGGUGGAAACACAAUGGUUAAACUAGGAUGGACAGGAACUAAGGAGUCAAUCAACUUUGACCUGGAUUGGCAUCCAAUAUGGAGGAUUUCCGUAAUAAUAACAGGACACAGUUCUCUUUAGGCUUCCCUUUAUCCUUAGCUCUGAUAUAUUAGAUUCUUACAUAUUCUAUGUUUUUAACUGAAACAGCCUGCUGCUAAAGCCUUCAGACUACUCUAAUUCUGGAAGCCUAAUUUCAGACUACUCUGCCUCCUCCCAGAGGGAACGAAAGCCAGGGAGAGAUGCUAAAGCCAUAAUCCUCAAAGGAUAGUUCUGCUUGCAGAUCUAGGGCUUUCAUUUAAAAGAAUGACUCAAAAGGCCAUUUCUAGGCUCGUGAAUCUCAAAAGUCAAUGUCGAUGAGUAUUAUCUCAGACACUUGUAAGAAAUGCGUACAUUCAAGCCCCUUUUUUCUGAUUCGGAAGUUCUGAGUUCAGGUUUGGGGCCAGGGGAUCUGAUAUUUCACUGCAUAUGAUCCUGAUGUAGUCGUUCGGUGGAAUACACAAGAGUCACUAAACUAAACUACAAUAGACUUGGGAACGCAGAAAUAGGAAGUUUCUUAGAUUUUUCUUGAGAUGUGGAUUUUAAGGUAUAUUUGUUAUAUUUUCUCUUAGUUUAUUUUAAAUACCAGGUAACCCUGAGACACACUGAAACCUGAAAGUCAUAUAAAGUUAUGUCUAAUUUAG
rnacentral:lncRNA from 10 species